rnacentral:rRNA from 1 species
GACGAACGCUGGCGGCGUGCUUAACACAUGCAAGUCGAGCGGAAAGGCCUCUUCGGGGGUACUCGAGCGGCGAACGGGUGAGUAACACGUGAGUAAUCUGCCCUUCACUCUGGGAUAGCCACCGGAAACGGUGAUUAAUACCGGAUACGACACGUCCAGGCAUCUGGUGCGUGUGGAAACUUUUUGGGUGGGGGAUGUGCUCGCGGCCUAUCAGCUUGUUGGUGGGGUAAUGGCCUACCAAGGCUUCGACGGGUAGCCGGCCUGAGAGGGUGACCGGCCACACUGGGACUGAGACACGGCCCAGACUCCUACGGGAGGCAGCAGUGGGGAAUAUUGGACAAUGGGCGGAAGCCUGAUCCAGCAACGCCGCGUGAGGGAUGACGGCCUUCGGGUUGUAAACCUCUUUCAGCACCGACGAAGCGAUCCUUUGGGGAGUGACGGUAGGUGCAGAAGAAGGACCGGCCAACUACGUGCCAGCAGCCGCAGUAAGAC